rnacentral:rRNA from 1 species
UACGGGGGGGGCAAGCGUUGUUCGGAAUUACUGGGCGUAAAGCGCUCGUAGGCGGCCAACUAAGUCGGACGUGAAAUCCCUCGGCUUAACCGGGGAACUGCGUCCGAUACUGGAUGGCUUGAGUUCGGGAGAGGGAUGCGGAAUUCCAGGUGUAGCGGUGAAAUGCGUAGAUAUCUGGAGGAACACCGGUGGCGAAGGCGGCAUCCUGGACCGACACUGACGCUGAGGAGCGAAAGCCAGGGGAGCAAACGGG